CUAAGUGGGCUACAGUUCUCCUUAUUUGGAUAACUGUGGAAAAUCCAGAGCUAAUACAUGCGAUUAAAGUCCUCAGCCAAAGCUUUGCACUUGUGUACGGUGACUAACUGGGGAUGCUUUUAUUAGACCGAGGCGCGCGCACACGUAGUUUAGCGCUUGUCUUCACGGACGAGAAUGCGGCUGCUUGUGUGUCGCACGUAAGCGCUUUAAGGUGACUCUGAAUAACAUUGAUAAGCGUGCUUUAACUAGCACGCUGCCUACUUACGAGUGACUGCCCUAUCAGCUACUAACGUAUGUUAUACGCGAACGUUGGCUAUAACGGGUAACGGGGAAUCAGAGUUCGAUUCCGGAGAGGCAGCCUGAGAAACGGCUACCACGUCUAAGGACGGCAGCAGGCACGCAAAUUACCCAAUCCCAGCACAUGGGGGAGGUAGUGACGAUAGAUACUGAUGCGGGUCGUUCUUCGGAACACUCGCAAUUGGAAUGGCUAUUUUCUAAACACCCUAUCGAGAACCUACUGGAGGGCAAGCCUGGUGCCAGCAGCCGCGGUAAUUCCAGCUCCAGUGGCGUAUGCCAAUGUUGCUGCGGUUAAAAGGCUCGCAGUUGAAUGUCGGUUAAUAUACGCGUAGAGGUGCCGGGACGUUGCGAGCUUUGUUGCCUCGUGCAUCAUUGUGAGCCGUCUCUCCAAGUGCAUCUCUCGCGGGCUAACGAUUAGAUUGACGGCACAGAGUGUUGCUCGUACUUGUACGUGCUUCGCUCACACGUGUCGUCGGUUGACACCUUGAGUAAAUCAGAGUGCUUAAAGCAGUCGUUGAAACACUACGGCUGCGACUUACCCUCUCGCGAGGCUAAAGUCGUAUGUCUAUGGUGACGUCGCAAGACGUUUGGACAUUGUCUUUGCUUUGCAUGGUACGUCGGAAGACGCCGUGUGAGUUGGUUGCGCUUACGGUAAGACAUACCUUCUGUGUGUGCGCGUGCACCAACAAGCACGGAAUGAAUUGACAGGGAUGGCUCGAAGGCAUUGGUAUUGCGGGGCGAGAGGUGAAAUUCUAUGACCCCCGCAAGACUUCCCGAAGCGAAAGCGUCUGCCUAGGACGUCUUCAUUAAUCAUGAACGAAAGUUGAAGGAUCGAAGGCGAUCAGAUACCGCCCUAGUUGCAACCGUAAACGAUAUCAACCAUCAAUCCGUCAAAGCGUUCCCUUGAGUCUUCGGAGGCGGGCUUCGCGGCCCUCUUCGGGGACAAAGUGUAAGCGCUUGAUGGGCAGCUCUUCUAUCACGGGAAACCAGAGUGUUUCGGUUCCGGGGGGAGUCUGGUUGCAAAGCUGAAACUUAAAGGAAUUGACGGAAAGGCACCACCAGGCGUGGAGCUUGCGGCUCAAUUUGACUCAACACGGGAAAUCUCACCAGACCCGAACAUCUCUAACGAUUGACAGAUUGAAAGCUCUUUCUUAAUGAAGUGGAUGGUGGUGCAUGGCCGUUCUUAGUUGGUGGAGUGAUCUGUCUGGUUAAUUCCGAUAACGAACGAGACUCUCCCCUGCUAACGGACCUUAGUGUUUUUCUAGACGGUGUGAUUCGGAGCAAGAGUCCAUGGGCGUAAGCCCCGGUCUCGGACGAUGUCCACUGAUCCUUGGUGCGUUGGUGUUCCGCGUGCCAUCGGAGAGUUGAGUGUUCGCAUUCUUCGCCUCUGUGGAUUUCUCGGUUCAUCGACAAAGCGCCUCGGAGUACGUUUCUUCUUAGAGGGAUUGACGACUUAUAAGUCGUAAGAAACAGGGAGCAAUAACAGGUCUGUGAUGCCCUUAGAUGUUCUGGGCUGCACGCGUGUUACAAUGCCGGUAUCAACGGGUUAUUACACUUUUAGUGGCCUACUCCGAAAGGAGUGGGUAAACCUUUGAAAUACCAACUGCGUCUGUCUUCAUUGACAGUGCAAUUACGGCAUGCUUGGGACUGGGGAUUGCAAUUAUUCCCCACAAACUAGGAAUGCCUUGUAGUGGCGGGUCACAGAGCCCGCUGCGAAUCUGUCCCUGCCCUUUGUACACACCGCCCGUCGCUACUACCGAUUGAGUGUACCAGUGAGAUUUUUGGACUGGCGAACCGCAAGCCUUUACGGGCUAGCGGCGUACGACAAUAAGAGACUCGAACUGGUGCACUAG
rnacentral:rRNA from 1 species